UCCUUGGUGGUCCAGUGGUUAGGACUCAGCACUUUCACUGCCAUGGCCCUGGUUUGAUUCCUGGUCAGGGAA